UUUGAAGCAGGAGUUUCCAGGGUACCCACAGUCCUGGACCUGGGAACCUCCCCACAGUGGGCGUGCCGCAUAGCUCCUGUAGUUCCACCCCCUGGAGUCCCUCCCUCCCACAUCUCCUCAGAUAUCCUGUCACCUGAGCCUGCAGUUAUCUGCUUCAGGAGUCAUGCUGUUGUCAAGUGAAUACAUGGCAAUUCUCUUGCCCAUUCAUCAGAGGCAGUACCAGCACCUUCACAGUACCAGCCCCUCCUCAAGAGUCUCCACAGAGAGAAGGGCCACCCAGACUGUCCUGUUGGUGAGUUUCUCUGUGAUCAUAUACCGGGUGGACAUCAUCAUCUCAUUCUCUUCAUGUUUGUUACGGGGAUAUUAUCCAGUCAUCCUGGAUUUUCAGAAGCUUGUGUCCAAUGUGUAUGCCACUGUCAAUGCAUUGGUGGUAAUUUGUCCUGAUAAAAGGAUAAAAAUGUG